CUGAAGUCUACAGGAGAGAGAGAUAUAUGAGUGUGUGUAUACAGUAUAUGAGUGUGUGUAUGAUUGUGUGUGUGUGUGUGUAUAUGAGAGUGUGUAUGCAUGUGUGUGUGCAUGUUUCUCAUAUAUAUAGAAGGUUCUUGUAGCAGUCGUCUCCACCGGAAUCGACUUUAAGAGGUGGCCUCGUGGGAGAUUGAAGCAUUUCCCUCUCCUGUAGCCAGUGGGACACGGUGUCCUCUUUCAUACCACAGCAAAUUCCAGAGUGUGCAUGUGUAUGUGUGCGUCAGCGUUCCAAGGAAACCUAAAUACUUUUAAAAGCGCUCUAAGUUUAGUGGAGAAUCAACAUUUAAACACUAACAACAGCCAGUGUACAAAAACACAACAUGAGUAGGAAUCAGCUGUCUGGGUAGAAAAAUAAAACCUAUAUGUUUAACUGAAAGCAGCAGAGAAUAUAACUUAACAGAAGGUGUUAUUAAUACAGGUUACUUGUAAAAUAAUUAGGUAAAACAUUUGUGUUUUUAAAAGCUGCCAUGUAGAAACCAUCUAGUAAUAUACUUGAAAUCUAUUAUUAUUAUUAUUAUUAUUAUUAUUAUUAUUAUUAUUAUUAUUAUUGAUAACCAGACCAUCAAGGUUUUUACUUUCAUGCAAAGCUUGAACACAAAGCAUUCAGACAAGAUUGCCAAAAUUCCCGCUUCAACUACAUCUAAAAGAAUCUCACCAAAAAAGCGUGAAACUAGCCUGAAAAGUUCAGGCACUGGACACAGAAGAAGGAUUUUAGACAUGGACCAAACAGAGCAUGUGAUGAGAUUCUAUCAAUACUGCAUGUUUUUCUGUUCUUACGUUCUCCAGUGUUAUUAAAGGACAAUCUUUCAAGAAAAAUCACAUUUUAAAAUGUUAAAUAAAAUCUAAUUUUAUGUC